CGAUGGCCCAAGCAAUCUGGUCGAUCAGUCACCAUUCUCAAGCAACUUCUGUAAGUUAUUUUGUAUCUUGAAAUAAAAGAAAAGAAGUUCCUAUUAUUAAAUAGAAUGGAGUAUAUUAAGGGCAUAUUUGUUAUAGUCUAUAUAGCAUUCUAUAUUAUUCCACUUUGAAUAAAAAGCUACAAAAGGGUUAAAUUUAGGUGAGGCAAAUAGAUGCUUUUUCAUAGACUAGAACUCUGACAAUCCACUUUUUCUUUGGGAAAAAGAAAGGGUCUCGCUCUGUCACCCAGGCUGGAAUGCAGUGACGUGAUCAUGGUUCACUGCAGCCCUGACUUCCUGGGCUCAAGUGAUCCUCCCACCUCAGCCUCCCAAGUAGCUGGGACUUCAGGCGUGCACCAUCAUGCCUGGCUAAUUUUUGCACUUUUUGUAUACAUGGAGUUUCAUCAUGUUUCUCAGGCUGAUCUAGAACUCCUGGGCUCAAGUGAUCCUCCUGUCUCAGCCUCCCAAAGUGUUGAGAUUACAGGUGUGAGCCACCAUGUCCAGCUGACAAUCCACUUUAAAAUGAGGAAAUACAGGGCUUAAAAAAAAAAAAAGAGAGAAUGGCAGAAAGAUGAAAAUGUCAGUAGAGACUGAGAUAAAUGAGAUGGAAGAAAAAGAACAAGGAACUGGCAACACCAGUGUGACCCAAAUGCAUUAGAAGACAAUGGGAAAUUGGUCUUUACACAACCCAUUUGAUGGUUUUAAUCAGAAAAAUCCCACAUAAUAAUGUUUAACACUCCUGUUACUCCAAUUAGAUAUUAUUAUUUAACAUUUCCAAGAAGGUUGUGGAUUUCACAGGGACAGAGACCAACCACGUCAGAUGUUUGGAUCUUAAGACGGGUCCGAUGUUGGACAUCAAAAAUGUUCUCAGUAAAUGACCGUUGAAUAAAGGAACUUGUAAGAAUUCAUAGAAGCCGGGUGCUGUGGCUUGUGCCUGUAAUCCCAGCACUUUGGGAGGAUGAAGUGGGCAGAUCACGAGGUCAGGAGUUCCAGACCAGCCUGGCCAACAUGGUGAAACUCUGUCUCUACUAAAAAAUAUACAAAUUAGCUGGGUGUGGUGGCAGAUGCCUGUAAUCCCAGCUACUUGGGAGGCUGAGGCAGGAGAAUUGCUUGAACCUGGAAGGUGGGGGUUGCAGUGAGCCAAGAUUGCGGCACUGCACUCCAGCCUGGGUGACAGAGCAAGACUCUGUCUUGGGAAAAAAAACAAAGAAGGAAAAAAAAAAGAAUUCAGAGCAAGGAAUUCUCAACAACCAGCCCUGUGAUGGGAGUAGAAACCUUGCAGACGAAAAGAAAGAACAUAUUGUUUUUUAGAGGAACAGUCUGUGAUGUCCUAUGGGUGUUCUCAGGUGAGUGAGGAGGAAGGGGAUCUGAUAUGUAAGUGCCAGCAAAGGCAUGCCUGCUCCUGAGCCAUACAACACCACACAAAGACAGGCUUUACACAUGAAACCAAGGGCCAGGGAGCUGAAGUAGCAGGAUGAGUUAUGUGGGUAGUAAGCAGUGGAGCAGGGAUAAGAACAAAGGCCUGACUCCAACAUUUAUGCUCUUUCUACUAUACUGUUCCACCAUUAAUUCCACUUCCAGAACUAAGAAAAUAAGUGUUUACUUCAGUUCCCGUAAGAGACAUUGCUUUCUUCCCCAACUUUCUUGCUUUGUUUCUUCCUCAUGUAUCCCUCAGGACCAAAGAUAAAUGGAAAAACAGGAGUGGGAGGUAGAAAAAGGAAUAAAACAAAGAACUGACAUCCCAAAUCCACAAAACACACCUACGAUGACACACACACAAAACCCAAAAUUAAAACAAAGGAGAGAAUUAAGCAAUUUACAGAGGAAAACCCAAAUGGCCAGUAAAUAUAUGAGAUGUUCAGCCUCAGUAAUAAUUAGGAAAAUACAAGCAAAAACCACAAUGAGAUCCAGCUUCACACUAUCUGACUGGUAGUGGGAAGGCUGAAUGGACUAGGAUGGUACCUGUGGGAAGAAACUUUGAGGAGACAUUUGAAGACAGACUUCACUGGAUUUGCCAACUAGUCAACCAGUGGCAGGUGGAAAGAGGGAGUUAAAAAUUAUUCUUAGAUUUCCAAUGAGGAUGACUGAAAGAGCAGUGAUGCCAUGAACAGAAAUAGGGAAGUUAUAAGCAGAGAAAGAUCAUGAGGCUUAGACAUCACCGGCCCCCGAAGGUGAGAAGAAGGAAUUGCUGGUAUGGAGUAUAAGACCUUCAACAGCAUGGAGCUGCUAUUUCACCGGCAGGCUGUGCUGCGCUAGUGCCCAGCUGCCUCUGAGGAAAGGUGCAGAUGAAUCAAAAAGAGCACGGGUGUGGCCUGGUACCUCUUUUUUAAUACUUAGAUUCUUUUGAGCAAUGUGUGCAACUUCUAACUUUUUAGAACAUCAACACGCGCAUUUUGACCCCAAAUCCACUUUUUACUGAAUCAGUUUCUGCUUUGAGACAAAGGUAGUCUCCACUGGUGCUCCUGUAAACCUCCCCGGCCUCCCUGCUAAGCUGUCUGAACCCUGCACAAGACCUGAGGCUGUUUGCCUGCUGUGAACAAGCUCUUCUGUUUUCAGUUCCCUGGUUACAGAAUGUGGUGUCCCGGCCAGGCCCAGCGGGAGAGUGGGAAGAAACACAAAAGAAGGCGGCAGGAUCCCAUGUGUUUCUAAUCCAAAGAAUAUCACUGAUUUGAAUUCAUCACCUCUAC
rnacentral:lncRNA from 1 species